rnacentral:rRNA from 1 species
GAUGAACGCUGGCGGCGUGCCUAAUACAUGCAAGUCGAGCGAACAGACGAGGAGCUUGCUCCUCUGACGUUAGCGGCGGACGGGUGAGUAACACGUGGUUAACCUACCUAUAAGACUGGGAUAACUUCGGGAAACCGGAGCUAAUACCGGAUAAUAUAUUGAACCGCAUGGUUCAAUAGUGAAAGACGGUUUUGCUGUCACUUAUAGAUGGAUCCGCGCCGCAUUAGCUAGUUGGUAAGGUAACGGCUUACCAAGGCAACGAUGCGUAGCCGACCUGAGAGGGUGAUCGGCCACACUGGAACUGAGACACGGUCCAGACCCCUACGGGAGGCAGCAGUAGGGAAUCUUCCGCAAUGGGCGAAAGCCUGACGGAGCAACGCCGCGUGAGUGAUGAAGGUCUUCGGAUCGUAAAACUCUGUUAUUAGGGAAGAACAAAUGUGUAAGUAACUAUGCACGUCUUGACGGUACCUAAUCAGAAAGCCACGGCUAACUACGUG